rnacentral:rRNA from 1 species
GAUGAACGCUGGCGGCGUGCUUAACACAUGCAAGUCGAACGGAAAGGCUCCUGCUUGCCGGGGUACUCGAGUGGCGAACGGGUGAGUAACACGUGGGUGAUCUGCCCUGCACUUCUGGAUAAGCCUGGGAAACUGGGUCUAAUACCGGAUAGGACGAUGGUUUGGAUGCCAUUGUGGAAAGUUUUUCGGUGUGGGAUGAGCUCGCGGCCUAUCAGCUUGUUGGUGGGGUAAUGGCCUACCAAGGCGUCGACGGGUAGGCGGCCGUGAAGGGGGUACGGCCACAAUGGGACUGAGAUACGGCCCAGACUCCUACGGGAGGCAGCAGGGGGGAAUAUUGAACAAUGGGCGAAAGCCUGAUGCAGGGACGCCGCGGGGGGGAUGACGGCCUUCGGGUUGUAAAAUCCUUUCGCUAGGGACGAAGCGUUUUGUGACGGUACCUGGAGAAGAAGCACCGGCUAACUACGUG